GCGUUAAGUUGCAGGGUAUAGACCCGAAACCCGGUGAUCUAGCCAUGGGCAGGUUGAAGGUUGGGUAACACUAACUGGAGGACCGAACCGACUAAUGUUGAAAAAUUAGCGGAUGACCUGUGGCUGGGGGUGAAAGGCCAAUCAAACCGGGAGAUAGCUGGUUCUCCCCGAAAGCUAUUUAGGUAGCGCCUCGUGAAUUCAUCUCCGGGGGUAGAGCACUGUUUCGGCUAGGGGGCCAUCCCGGCUUACCAACCCGAUGCAAACUGCGAAUACCGGAGAAUGUUAUCACGGGAGACACACGGCGGGUGCUAACGUCCGUCGUGAAGAGGGAAACAACCCAGACCGCCAGCUAAGGUCCCAAAGUCAUGGUUAAGUGGGAAACGAUGUGGGAAGGCCCAGACAGCCAGGAUGUUGGCUUAGAAGCAGCCAUCAUUUAAAGAAAGCGUAAUAGCUCACUGGUCGAGUCGGCCUGCGCGGAAGAUGUAACGGGGCUAAACCAUGCACCGAAGCUGCGGCAGCGACACUGUGUGUUGUUGGGUAGGGGAGCGUUCUGUAAGCCUGCGAAGGUGGCCUGUGAGGGUUGCUGGAGGUAUCAGAAGUGCGAAUGCUGACAUAAGUAACGAUAAAGCGGGUGAAAAGCCCGCUCGCCGGAAGACCAAGGGUUCCUGUCCAACGUUAAUCGGGGCAGGGUGAGUCGACCCCUAAGGCGAGGCCGAAAGGCGUAGUCGAUGGGAAACGGGUUAAUAUUCCCGUACUUGGUGUUACUGCGAAGGGGGGACGGAGAAGGCUAUGUUGGCCGGGCGACGGUUGUCCCGGUUUAAGCGUGUAGGUGUGUGUUCCAGGUAAAUCCGGUUCACUUUAACACUGAGGCGUGACGACGAGGCACUACGGUGCUGAAGCAACAAAUGCCCUGCUUCCAGGAAAAGCCUCUAAGCAUCAGGUAACAUCAAAUCGUACCCCAAACCGACACAGGUGGUCAGGUAGAGAAUACCAAGGCGCUUGAGAGAACUCGGGUGAAGGAACUAGGCAAAAUGGUGCCGUAACUUCGGGAGAAGGCACGCUGACACGUAGGUGAAGUGAUUUACUCAUGGAGCUGAAGUCAGUCGAAGAUACCAGCUGGCUGCAACUGUUUAUUAAAAACACAGCACUGUGCAAACACGAAAGUGGACGUAUACGGUGUGACGCCUGCCCGGUGCCGGAAGGUUAAUUGAUGGGGUCAGCGCAAGCGAAGCUCCUGAUCGAAGCCCCGGUAAACGGCGGCCGUAACUAUAACGGUCCUAAGGUAGCGAAAUUCCUUGUCGGGUAAGUUCCGACCUGCACGAAUGGCGUAAUGAUGGCCAGGCUGUCUCCACCCGAGACUCAGUGAAAUUGAACUCGCUGUGAAGAUGCAGUGUACCCGCGGCAAGACGGAAAGACCCCGUGAACCUUUACUAUAGCUUGACACUGAACAUUGAGCCUUGAUGUGUAGGAUAGGUGGGAGGCUUUGAAGUGUGGACGCCAGUCUGCAUGGAGCCGACCUUGAAAUACCACCCUUUAAUGUUUGAUGUUCUAACGUGGACCCGUUACCCGGGUUGCGGACAGUGUCUGGUGGGUAGUUUGACUGGGGCGGUCUCCUCCUAAAGAGUAACGGAGGAGCACGAAGGUUGGCUAAUCCUGGUCGGACAUCAGGAGGUUAGUGCAAUGGCAUAAGCCAGCUUGACUGCGAGCGUGACGGCGCGAGCAGGUGCGAAAGCAGGUCAUAGUGAUCCGGUGGUUCUGAAUGGAAGGGCCAUCGCUCAACGGAUAAAAGGUACUCCGGGGAUAACAGGCUGAUACCGCCCAAGAGUUCAUAUCGACGGCGGUGUUUGGCACCUCGAUGUCGGCUCAUCACAUCCUGGGGCUGAAGUAGGUCCCAAGGGUAUGGCUGUUCGCCAUUUAAAGUGGUACGCGAGCUGGGUUUAGAACGUCGUGAGACAGUUCGGUCCCUAUCUGCCGUGGGCGCUGGAGAACUGAGGGGGGCUGCUCCUAGUACGAGAGGACCGGAGUGGACGCAUCACUGGUGUUCGGGUUGUCAUGCCAAUGGCACUGCCCGGUAGCUAAAUGCGGAAGAGAUAAGUGCUGAAAGCAUCUAAGCACGAAACUUGCCCCGAG
rnacentral:rRNA from 1 species